rnacentral:rRNA from 1 species
UACAGGGGUGGCAAGCGUUGUUCGGAAUUACUGGGCGUAAAGGGCGAGUAGGUGGCCAUCUAAGUCAGACGUGAAAUCCCCCGGCUUAACCUGGGAACUGCGUCUGAUACUGGACGGCUUGAGUAUGGGAGAGGAACGUAGAAUUCCAGGUGUAGCGGUGAAAUGCGUAGAUAUCUGGAGGAAUACCGGUGGCGAAGGCGGCGUUCUGGACCAUUACUGACACUGAAUCGCGAAAGCUAGGGGAGCAAACGGG